GUGCCAGCCGCCGCGGUAAUACGGAGGGGCUAGCGUUGCUCGGAAUUACUGGGCGUAAAGCGCACGUAGGCGGAUUGGAAAGUCAGAGGUGAAAUCCCAGGGCUCAACCCUGGAACUGCCUUUGAAACUCCCAGUCUUGAGGUCGAGAGAGGUGAGUGGAAUUCCGAGUGUAGAGGUGAAAUUCGUAGAUAUUCGGAGGAACACCAGUGGCGAAGGCGGCUCACUGGCUCGAUACUGACGCUGAGGUGCGAAAGCGUGGGAGCAAACAGGAUUAGAUACCCUGGUAGUCCACGCCGUAACGAUGAAUGCCAGUCGUCGGGUAGCGAUGCUAUUCGGUGACGACACCUAACGGAUUAAGCAAUUCCGCCGUGGGACGUACGGCCGACGAACGGUUAAACU
rnacentral:rRNA from 1 species